rnacentral:rRNA from 1 species
UCUCCUGGAAACGGGUGGUAAUGCCGGAUGCUCCGACUCCUCGCAUGGGGUGUCGGGAAAGAUUUCAUCGGUAUGGGAUGGGGUCGCGUCCUAUCAGGUAGUCGGCGGGGUAACGGCCCACCGAGCCUACGACGGGUAGCCGGCCUGAGAGGGCGACCGGCCACAUUGGGACUGAGAUACGGCCCAGACUCCUACGGGAGGCAGCAGUGGGGAAUAUUGCACAAUGGGCGCAAGCCUGAUGCAGCGACGCCGCGUGCGGGAUGACGGCCUUCGGGUUGUAAACCGCUUUUGAUCGGGAGCAAGCCUUCGGGUGAGUGUACCUUUCGAAUAAGCACCGGCUAACUACGUGCCAGCAGCCGCGGUAAUACGUAGGGUGCAAGCGUUAUCCGGAAUUAUUGGGCGUAAAGGGCUCGUAGGCGGUUCGUCGCGUCCGGUGUGAAAGUCCAUCGCUUAACGGUGGAUCUGCGCCGGGUACGGGCGGGCUGGAGUGCGGUAGGGGAGACUGGAAUUCCCGGUGUAACGGUGGAAUGUGUAGAUAUCGAAAAGAACACC